rfam:Lentinula edodes NBRC 111202 DNA, contig: scaffold1396.
GUCCCAGUAGCUCAGUGGUAGAGCAUCUGAUCUGAUAUGGUGAUUGUUUAUUUCAUCCUAUAUGCAAACAAAAAGCCAGGGUUCAAAUCCCUGCUGGGACU